GGACAGUUUAGUGUGUGUAGUCUCUUUACUGAAAAAAGAGGCAUGUUUAUGGUGGGACACUACAGCCCAGACAGUACAGGCCGAUCAACGGACAUGGGAGUUUUUUCUGACUGAGUUCAGGAAGAAAUAUGUGGGAGAUUUGUAUAUAGAAGAGAAGAAGAUAGAGUUCCUUCACCUUAGACAGGGCAGAAUGACAGUUGGUGAGUAUGAGAGGGAUUUUAUCCGGCUUAGCAGAUAUGCACGGGAGAUGAUCCCUACUGAGGAGGAUAGGUGUAAGAGGUUUGAGCAGGGUCUUCAUAAUGAGAUCAGGAUACAUCUGGUAGCUCGACCCAUCCAAGAGUUCUCUGCUUUGGUGGGUGCAGCUUUGAGCAUAGAGCAAAUCAGAGAGAAUGAAUAGAGCAGGA
rnacentral:misc_RNA from 1 species